rnacentral:rRNA from 1 species
AUGAGCAACACGCAUACCAAGCCUAUUCCCGCCUACAGUAUAUAUUCCAUCUUGCCUCUAAUGGCACUAAUACUUGUGGCCAACUGCAGGGUGUUGACAGUUCACAUGACUCAGGGGAGGCCCUGCAAGCCUCGAAAGCAUUGGCACGGUCCAGCGGGGCCGUCGUCGCGGUAUCUGGAGCAGUUGAUUUCAUCACGGAUGGCGAGCAGGUUGUCAGCGCGAGCAACGGCGUGGCCCUGA